GAUGAACGCUGGCGGCGUGCCUAAUACAUGCAAGUCGAGCGAACGGACGAGAAGCUUGCUUUUCUGAUGUUAGCGGCGGACGGGUGAGUAACACGUGGAUAACCUACCUAUAAGACUGGGAUAACUUCGGGAAACCGGAGCUAAUACCGGAUAAUAUUUUGAACCGCAUGGUUCAAAAGUGAAAGACGGUCUUGCUGUCACUUAUAGAUGGAUCCUCUCUGCAUUAGCUAGUUGGUAAGGUAACGGCUUACCAAGGCAACGAUGCAUAGCCGACCUGAGAGGGUGAUCGGCCACACUGGAACUGAGACACGGUCCAGACUCCUAAGGGAGGCAGCAGUAGGGAAUCUUCCGCAAUGGGCGAAAGCCUGACGGAGCAACGCCGCGUGAGUGAUGAAGGUCUUCGGAUCGUAAAACUCUGUUAUUAGGGAAGAACAUAUGUGUAAGUAACUGUGCACAUCUUGACGGUACCUAAUCAGAAAGCCACGGCUAACUACGUG
rnacentral:rRNA from 1 species